CUCCAGAUGUUGCUGAACUACAACUCCCAUGAUUCUCAACCUAGCUAUCUCAUUCAUAGAAUCAUGGGAGUUGUAGUUCAGCAACAUCUGGAG